rnacentral:rRNA from 1 species
GACGAACGCUGGCGGCGCGCCUAAUACAUGCAAGUCGAACGGGCUGCCUUCGGGCAGCCAGUGGCGGACGGGUGAGUAACACGUGGGUGACCUGCCCUGGAGUGGGGAAUAACGCUGCGA